rnacentral:rRNA from 1 species
CCUACGGGAGGCUGCAGUGGGGAAUAUUGGACAAUGGGGGGAACCCUGAUCCAGCCAUGCCGCGUGUGUGAAGAAGGCCCUCGGGUUAUAAAGCACUUUCAGUGAGGAAGAACGCCUGGUGGUUAAUACCCAUCAGGAAAGACAUCACUCACAGAAGAAGCACCGGCUAACUCCGUGCCAGCAGCCGCGGUAAUACGGAGGGUGCGAGCGUUAAUCGGAAUUACUGGGCGUAAAGCGCGCGUAGGUGGCUUGAUAAGCCGGUUGUGAAAGCCCCGGGCUCAACCUGGGAACGGCAUCCGGAACUGUCAAGCUAGAGUGCAGGAGAGGAAGGUAGAAUUCCCGGUGUAGCGGUGAAAUGCGUAGAGAUCGGGAGGAAUACCAGUGGCGAAGGCGGCCUUCUGGACUGACACUGACACUGAGGUGCGAAAGCGUGGGUAGCAAACAGGAUUAGAUACCCUGGUAGUC